rnacentral:rRNA from 1 species
GAUCCUGGCUCAGGAUGAACGCUGGCGGCGUGCUUAACACAUGCAAGUCGAACGAAGAUUGCAGGAAGCUUGCUUCAUGUAAUCUUAGUGGCGGACGGGUGAGUAACGUGUGGGCAACUUGUCCUUUACAGGGGAAUAAUCAUUGGAAACGAUGACUAAUACCGCAUGAAGUCGCUUUAAGGCAUCUUAGAGUGAAAAAAGGAGAAAUCCGGUAAAGGAGAGGCCCGCAUCUGAUUAG